rnacentral:misc_RNA from 1 species
UGUCAGUGAAAAAAAUUACGCCGCGUUCUUUGAAAUUCAACGGCGCCAUUUCUGAAAAUAUCAACGCUACACAACACAGCUGCUUGUCAACGUCGGCGGUGUUUCUGUCAUUUGUACUUUAAUUUUCACUGAUAUCAUUUUAUUAACUUGGUGUUUUUGGUUGCUGUAAUUUAAAUUAAAAAAAAAAAUUAAUAAACAUUAAAAAAAUGUCGAAUAAUUCGAAUCUAUCUGUGGCUGUGGUCUGUUCCUCAAACAUGAAUCGUUCAAUGGAGGCGCAUCAUUUCCUAGCGAAGAAGGGCUUCAACGUGCGUUCCUUUGGCACUGGUGAACGCGUAAAACUCCCAGGCACAGCUAUUGAUAAACCAAAUGUAUACGAAUUUGGCACACCUUACGACACAAUCUAUCAGGAUCUGCUUACAAAAGAUAAACAAUACUACACACAAAACGGGUUACUUCAUAUGCUUGACCGUAAUCGAAGAAUUAAAAAGUGUCCAGAACGCUUUCAGGAAUGCAAAGAACAAUUCGAUAUUAUUGUGACCGUGGAAGAGCGUGUCUACGACCAGGUGUUGGAACACAUGGAGUCUUGUGAUCCCAUAGACAAUCGACCUGUACACGUAUUCAAUGUGGAUAUUGAGGACAAUCAUGAAGAGGCUUUAAUGGGCGCCUUUCUUAUCACGGACAUGAUAAAUAUGAUGGCGAAAUCAACCGACCUGGAUAACGAUAUUGACGAAUUGCUGCAAGAAUUCGAGUCUCGGCGCAAUAAAACUGUUCUGCAUUCGGUACUUUUCUACUGACAAUUGUUUAAGCUGUAGAUGGAAAUCAAAAUAACGAAAUGGAAAUCAUUAAAUGUAUUGUUGGCAAAAUUCGGUUUGUUAAUGCAAGUGCACCAAACGGAGGUUGUGGCAUAAUUUUUGUGGAUCUAGCAGAAAAAAAAACAUAUGAAAUGAAACAAAGGAUGGCGAAACUAAUACUGUAGUUAUUGAAAAAUAAAUGUACGCAAGUAAUCAAAAUCCAAGCAAAGUUGAGGUAACCCAACUCAUUUGGUGAAGAACAAAUGCUUAUAAAAACUCAUUCAUGCCAUGCUGGUAUGUAUGCACUUGUAAGCGCGUCUAAAAAUGCAAAAAUAUAAUUAUCUUGCAGAAUAUAUGAAAUAAAAUAUAAACAGAUAUUUUACAAAUUUGUA